GGAAAAUUAGAUUUCUUGGGAGAAAAGGAAAAAGGAAAAGUAACUCUCAGCAAAGUGAGAGUGUCCUGCUGGCAGGUUUCCUUCUCACAGAUUGAAUCCCAGAUUACCACCCAGGAACCGAAGAGGCCAGACUCCUCCCACCUGCAAACAGCGCGAACUUUCCGAGGCUCCACCCCAUCCUCCCGGUGCACAGGUGCGCAGGGUUCAGAGAGAAUCAGUCAGGAAAGGGUGGGCUUCAUCCAGCACAAGCAGUCCGGUUUUUCAGCCUUUGGGCUGUUUUAGGCUUGAAGCCGGGGUUUUGCCGGGGACCUUGGCUGUCUCCUGUCUCUAUCAGUUGCUAAUAAGUAUUUGUUUUUAGUGAAUAAUCAGUUUGACUAGUUGACUAUUGGUGUCCUGCCUCUAUGCUCUUGCCUACUACAAGGUCAUCUAUAGAGAGCUUCCACAUGCUGAUGGCUUCCCCCAGCACUCCGCCUGAGGCCAAGGAGUGAGCAGAGCAGGUCACAGUUCAUGAUUUUGGGGCAAUCCUCAACCAACAAGGAAUCCAAGUCAAUAGAAAAGAGAUUGGCAACUUCAGAUUGGAAGUGGAUCAUAGCAGGAAUCCAAGCCUAUAAAUCAGAUAUUCUCUGUUGGGUGGAGGAAAUACCAUUCUGACUUAGUCUAUUUGUGCUGCUACAACAGAAUACCUGAGACUGGGUAAUUUAUAAAGAAAAGAAAUUUAUUUCUCACAGUUUUGGAGGUGGGGAAGUCCAAGAUAAAGAUGCCAGCAUCUGGUGAGGGUCUUUUUGCUGUGUCCUCACAUAGCAGAAGGCGGAAGCGCUGAAUGUUGCACGAAACCUCUUUUAUAAGAGUCUUAGUACCAUGAAUAAGGGAGGAGCACUCAUGGUGUAAUCAUCUCUUAAAGACCUCACUUCUUAAAGUAUCACAUUGGCCACAAUUGGAUUUUGGAAGGGACUAAUACUGAGCAUGAAUUUUGGAGGCAACAAAAAUAAUCAAACUAUAGCACCUUCCAUUUGUUUUUUCUUGAGAGUUGUUAUCAUGAGUGGGUGCUGAAUUUUGUCUAAUAGUUUUUGUGUAUUAUUUGAUAUGAUAACGUGGUGUUUCUUCUUUAGACUGCUAAUAUAAUA
rnacentral:lncRNA from 1 species